rnacentral:rRNA from 1 species
AGUAACGCGUAGGAAUCUGCCUGGUGGUGGGGGACAACUCGGGGAGACUCGAGCUAAUACCGCAUACGCCCUACGGGGGAAAGCGGGGGAUCUUCGGACCUCGCGCCAUCAGAUGAGCCUGCGUCCGAUUAGCUAGUUGGUGGGGUAAUGGCCUACCAAGGCGACGAUCGGUAGCUGGUCUGAGAGGACGAUCAGCCACACUGGGGCUGAGACACGGCCCAGACUCCUACGGGAGGCAGCAGUGGGGAAUAUUGGACAAUGGGCGAAAGCCUGAUCCAGCAAUGCCGCGUGUGUGAAGAAGGCCUGCGGGUUGUAAAGCACUUUCAGUAGAGAAGAAAAGCCUGGCGUUAAUACCGUCGGGUCUUGACGUAACCUACAGAAGAAGCACCGGCUAACUCCGUGCCAGCAGCCGCGGUAAUACGGAGGGUGCAAGCGUCAAUCGGAAUUACUGGGCGUAAAGCGCACGUAGGCGGCCUUGUAAGUCGGAUGUGAAAGCCCCGGGCUUAACCUGGGAACUGCAUUUGGAACUGGAAGGCUAGAGUGUGUCAGAGGGAGGUGGAAUUCCACGUGUAGCAGUGAAAUGCGUAGAGAUGUGGAGGAACACCGAUGGCGAAGGCAGCCUCCUGGGAUAACACUGACGCUCAUGCACGAAAGCGUGGGGAGCAAACAGGAUUAGAUACCCUGGUAGUCCACGCCCUAAACGAUGUCGACUGGCUGUUGGGAGAGGAAUCUUUCAGUAGCGAAGCAAACGCGCGAAGUCGACCGCCUGGGGAGUACGGCCGCAAGGUUGAAACUCAAA